rnacentral:rRNA from 1 species
CCUACGGGAGGCAGCAGUGGGGAAUAUUGCACAAUGGGGGAAACCCUGAUGCAGCGACGCCGCGUGGAGGAAGAAGGUCUUCGGAUUGUAAACUCCUGUUGUUGAGGAAGAUAAUGACGGUACUCAACAAGGAAGUGACGGCUAACUACGUGCCAGCAGCCGCGGUAAAACGUAGGUCACAAGCGUUGUCCGGAAUUACUGGGUGUAAAGGGAGCGCAGGCGGGAGAACAAGUUGGAAGUGAAAUCCAUGGGCUCAACCCAUGAACUGCUUUCAAAACUGUUUUUCUUGAGUAGUGCAGAGGUAGGCGGAAUUCCCGGUGUAGCGGUGGAAUGCGUAGAUAUCGGGAGGAACACCAGUGGCGAAGGCGGCCUACUGGGCACCAACUGACGCUGAGGCUCGAAAGUGUGGGUAGCAAACAGGAUUAGAUACCCUGGUAGUCCACACCGUAAACGAUGAUUACUAGGUGUUGGAGGAUUGACCCCUUCAGUGCCGCAGUUAACACAAUAAGUAAUCCACCUGGGGAGUACGACCGCAAGGUUGAAACUCAAAGGAAUUGACGGGGGCCCGCACAAGCAGUGGAGUAUGUGGUUUAAUUCGACGCAACGCGAAGAACCUUACCAAGUCUUGACAUCCUGCGACGCACAUAGAAAUAUGUGUUUCCUUCGGGACGCAGAGACAGGUGGUGCAUGGUUGUCGUCAGCUCGUGUCGUGAGAUGUUGGGUUAAGUCCCGCAACGAGCGCAACCCUUAUGGUCAGUUACUACGCAAGAGGACUCUGGCCAGACUGCCGUUGACAAAACGGAGGAAGGUGGGGAUGACGUCAAAUCAUCAUGCCCUUUAUGACUUGGGCUACACACGUACUACAAUGGCGUUAAACAAAGAGAAGCAAGACCGCGAGGUGGAGCAAAACUCAGAAACAACGUCCCAGUUCGGACUGCAGGCUGCAACUCGCCUGCACGAAGUCGGAAUUGCUAGUAAUCGUGGAUCAGCAUGCCACGGUGAAUACGUUCCCGGGCCUUGUACACACCGCCCGUCACACCAUGAGAGCCGGGGGGACCCGAAGUCGGUAGUCUAACCGCAAGGAGGACGCCGCCGAAGGUAAAACUGGUGAUUGGGGUGAAGUCGUAACAAGGUAGCCGUAGGAGAACCUGCGGCUG